rnacentral:lncRNA from 1 species
CAGUUGACCCAAGGUGCAGGCCUCUGCAGCCCCAGCUUGAGUCACCCAACUGGCCCUGCCCAGGACGGAUCCAUCCUCAGGAAUGGUUCUGAUGACAGAAGACUGUCCAGGAAGGCUGGCUCACCCCAGCUCCCCCUACCUGCUCCUCAGCUCAUGUGUGUACGACCUGGUGACUGGGGUGGGGUCUCUCACCGGCGGGCUGUGGCGGCCCUUGAGGCAGGUCCAGCUCUGGUGGGUGGCUGCUCCGCGUGAUGAUGACCGGCUCUUCCAUCACGUUGAUGCUGUUACACUGCAUGAGGUCCUGCAGCAGGUUGAAGAUGUCCUCUGCCCUCGAGCACUUGAAUGCAAAGAUGCCUGGGGAAGAAUGAAAAAGACAGCACAAUAUGUAAAAGCUGGACAGGACCAGAAGGACAGAAGUGGUGAUAUGUGGCUGUAACCUCACACUUGGGAGGGAUGAGGUGCAUGCCGGGAAAAGGCCCUUCAGCAAUCAACCCAGAACACGCAUUGCUUUGUGUUGUCUCGGGAGAGACAGCUCUGUCUGCGGCAGCACAAUCCCAAGGACUCCUG